rnacentral:piRNA from 1 species
UCAACGGACAGUUGCAAUCUACAUAAGU